UGUUGGAUUGGACUCCCCCAAGCGCUCCGUCCAGUGCUCUGCCCACAGCAAGCGCGCAAUAAAUGCGACCGAAUGAACCCACACCCAUCUGCGGUCUCGUUUUCAGCCAGGCCGGCCGAGUCCUCCUCCGCCUCUGGACUCCGGUGGGGUCGCGGGGUCCCCACCCCCAAAAGACUUCCGCCGCGCGUGGCGAAGCUGACGUUCCGGAUUCGGCCACGGUCCGAGCCUGAGGAGGGACAGAGACACGGCGCGGAGGCGGCGGGGUUGGUCGGGGUCUCCGUGGGAUCAUCAUCAUCAUCAUCAUCAUCAUCCCGGCAUCCGUCGAGCGCUUCCUCUGGGCCGAGCGCCGUUCUAAGCGCCGGGCUGGAUCCGGCUUUAUCGCGUUGGACCCGGGCCCCCGUGGGACUCACAACUCUUCACCCCCGUUUUCCAGCGCUCAGAACACAGUAAGCGCCCGAGAAGCCCCGUCGUCGCCAUCGCUACGGCCGCCCCCCGCUCCGCCCGCGGGAGGCGCCCGAUCAGUACGAACGCACGGAACGGACGGCAUCGAGCGCCGCUCCGGGCGGGGCACGAGAGUCAGCGGACACGGUCCCGGCAGUCGAGCGGAGAGUCGACGAAUAAUAAUAAAAACGAUAACACCCGUA